GGGGAUUAGUGGCGAACGGGUGAGUAACACGUGAGUAACCUGCCCUUGACUCUGGGAUAAGCCUGGGAAACUGGGUCUAAUACCGGAUAUGACUCCUCAUCGCAUGGUGGGGGGUGGAAAGCUUUUUGUGGUUUUGGAUGGACUCGCGGCCUAUCAGCUUGUUGGUGAGGUAAUGGCUUACCAAGGCGACGACGGGUAGCCGGCCUGAGAGGGUGACCGGCCACACUGGGACUGAGACACGGCCCAGACUCCUACGGGAGGCAGCAGUGGGGAAUAUUGCACAAUGGGCGAAAGCCUGAUGCAGCGACGCCGCGUGAGGGAUGACGGCCUUCGGGUUGUAAACCUCUUUCAGUAGGGAAGAAGCGAAAGUGACGGUACCUGCAGAAGAAGCGCCGGCUAACUACGUGCCAGCAGCCGCGGUAAUACGUAGGGCGCAAGCGUUAUCCGGAAUUAUUGGGCGUAAAGAGCUCGUAGGCGGUUUGUCGCGUCUGCCGUGAAAGUCCGGGGCUCAACUCCGGAUCUGCGGUGGGUACGGGCAGACUAGAGUGAUGUAGGGGAGACUGGAAUUCCUGGUGUAGCGGUGAAAUGCGCAGAUAUCAGGAGGAACACCGAUGGCGAAGGCAGGUCUCUGGGCAUUAACUGACGCUGAGGAGCGAAAGCAUGGGGAGCGAACAGGAUUAGAUACCCUGGUAGUCCAUGCCGUAAACGUUGGGCACUAGGUGUGGGGGACAUUCCACGUUUUCCGCGCCGUAGCUAACGCAUUAAGUGCCCCGCCUGGGAGUACGGCCGCAAGGCUAAAACUCAAAGGAAUUGACGGGGGCCCGCACAAGCGGCGGAGCAUGCGGAUUAAUUCGAUGCAACGCGAAGAACCUUACCAAGGCUUGACAUGGACUGGAAAUACCUGGAAACAGGUGCCCCGCUUGCGGUCGGUUCACAGGUGGUGCAUGGUUGUCGUCAGCUCGUGUCGUGAGAUGUUGGGUUAAGUCCCGCAACGAGCGCAACCCUCGUUCUAUGUUGCCAGCGCGUAAUGGCGGGGACUCAUAGGAGACUGCCGGGGUCAACUCGGAGGAAGGUGGGGACGACGUCAAAUCAUCAUGCCCCUUAUGUCUUGGGCUUCACGCAUGCUACAAUGGCCGGUACAAAGGGUUGCGAUACUGUGAGGUGGAGCUAAUCCCAAAAAGCCGGUCUCAGUUCGGAUUGGGGUCUGCAACUCGACCCCAUGAAGUCGGAGUCGCUAGUAAUCGCAGAUCAGCAACGCUGCGGUGAAUACGUUCCCGGGCCUUGUACACACCGCCCGUCAAGUCACGAAAGUUGGUAACACCCGAAGCC
rnacentral:rRNA from 1 species